rnacentral:sRNA from 1 species
GCAAAAUUGAUGGCAAGGUCGGGGCC